rnacentral:rRNA from 1 species
CACGGACUUCGGUCUGGUGGCGAGUGGCGAACGGGUGAGUAAUGUAUCGGAACGUGCCCAGUAGCGGGGGAUAACUACGCGAAAGCGUAGCUAAUACCGCAUACGCCCUACGGGGGAAAGCAGGGGAUCGCAAGACCUUGCACUAUUGGAGCGGCCGAUAUCGGAUUAGCUAGUUGGUGGGGUAACGGCUCACCAAGGCGACGAUCCGUAGCUGGUUUGAGAGGACGACCAGCCACACUGGGACUGAGACACGGCCCAGACUCCUACGGGAGGCAGCAGUGGGGAAUUUUGGACAAUGGGGGAAACCCUGAUCCAGCCAUCCCGCGUGUGCGAUGAAGGCCUUCGGGUUGUAAAGCACUUUUGGCAGGAAAGAAACGUCAUGGGUUAAUACCCCGUGAAACUGACGGUACCUGCAGAAUAAGCACCGGCUAACUACGUGCCAGCAGCCGCGGUAAUACGUAGGGUGCAAGCGUUAAUCGGAAUUACUGGGCGUAAAGCGUGCGC